UUGAAUUUAUUACAGAAAUUAGUUGAUGACUCUUUCAGUUUGCCUCAGUUUUUUAUUUUUUUGUUCUUCUUUCCUAAGACCGACAUGCCUUACAUUCGAGAGUGCUGGCUCAACCUAGUAUUGAAGUGCAUGAGCCAUAAAAGGGAAGCCUCAAGGAGUAUCAAGUGGACUACAUGUAUGGUUGUCCCAAGGACCAUGGGAUUCUUGCGUUGCCAGCAUCUGUUCUGGAGGACAUUUUUAUCGAUGUGGUUCUCCAGGAGGGUGACGAGGCAAUUCUGACACUGGCCCUGGUGUGCACUCACUUCAGAGACCUUGUGACACAGGAAGCUUUCAGGAGACGAGUCCUUUUUCUUUGGCUUGACAGAUAUGUAGGUCGAGGAAGAAGGGGGGAACUCAUAAAAAUUAUUAGUGAAGACACCCACCCAGACUUCUGCAGCGAGUUCUGCCAAAUCUGUGCUGACCUUAUUUGAGUGUGUUGUAUGCAUGAUGUAGUGGCUGCAGUGCAGUAUGAAAGGAUGAAUGAGUGAUUUAUCAUUUAAUUCUGUGUAAAUUCUGAUUUUGAAUGCCCCUCUAAUGUUGGCAUGUUAUUCUGUUAGCGAUUAGUCAGUGUGCUUAUGAUGUGCUCCCAAUGUGGUUUUCCUUGCGUUUCAUGUUCAAAGUUUCCUUACCAUAUUCAGUGUCUGU